rnacentral:rRNA from 1 species
GUGCCAGCAGCUGCGGUAAUACAUAGGUCGCGAGCGUUAUUCGGAUUUAUUGGGCGUAAAGCAAGCGCAGGCGGACAAGUAAGUUCUAUGUUAAAAGCAGUUGCUCAACAAUUGUUUGCGUCGAAUACUACUUGUCUAGAAUACGGUAGGAAGUUUUGGAAUUGAAUAUGGAGCGGUGGAAUGUGUAGAUAUAUUCAAGAACACCAGAGGCGAAGGCGAAAACUUAGGCCGUCAUUGACGCUUAGGCUUGAAAGUGUGGGGAGCAAAUGGGAUUAGAUACCCCAGUAGUCCACACUGUAAACGAUGGAUAUUAGAUGUUGGGACUUGAGUCUCAGCGUUGUAGCUUACGUGUUAAAUAUCCCGCCUGGGUAGUACAUAUGCAAAUAUGAAACUCAAAGGAAUUGACGGGGACCUGAACAAGUGGUGGAACAUGUUGCUUAAUUCGAUAAUACACGAAGAACCUUACCAAGAUUUGACAUCCCCCGCAAAGCCUUAGAAAUAAGGUGGAGGUUAUCGGGGUGACAGGUGGUGCAUGGUUGUCGUCAGCUCGUGUCAUGAGAUGUUUGGUUAAGUCCCGCAACGAGCGCAACCCUAUCCUCUAGUUAAAUGUCUAGAGGGACUGAACAGUAAUGUAUAGGAAGGGUGGGAUCACGUCAAAUCAUCAUGCCCCUUAUAUCUUGGGCCGCAAACGUGUUACAAUGGCAGGUACAGCGCGAAGCAAACCAGCGAUGGCAAGCAAAUCGCUAAAAGCCUGUCUCAGUCCGGAUAAAAGGCUGCAAUUCGCCUUUUUGAAGUUGGAAUCACUAGUAAUCCCGUGUCAGCUAUAUCGGGGUGAAUACGUUCCCAGGUC